rnacentral:rRNA from 1 species
AUUGAACGCUGGCGGCAUGCCUUACACAUGCAAGUCGAACGGCAGCACGGGUGCUUGCCCCUGGUGGCGAGUGGCGAACGGGUGAGUAAUACAUCGGAACAUGUCCUGUAGUGGGGGAUAGCCCGGCGAAAGCCGGAUUAAUACCGCAUACGAUCUACGGAUGAAAGCGGGGGACCUUCGGGCCUCGCGCUAUAGGGUUGGCCGAUGGCUGAUAGCUAGUUGGUGGGGUAAAGGCCUACCAAGGCGACGAUCAGUAGCUGGUCUGAGAGGACGACCAGCCACACUGGGACUGAGACACGGCCCAGACUCCUACGGGAGGCAGCAGUGGGGAAUUUUGGACAAUGGGCGAAAGCCUGAUCCAGCAAUGCCGCGUGUGUGAAGAAGGCCUUCGGGUUGUAAAGCACGUUUGUCCGGAAAGAAAUCCUUGGCCCUAAUACGGUCGGGGGGAUGACGGUACCGGAAGAAUAAGCACCGGCUAACUACGUG